ACUUAGUGGCGGAUGGGUGAGUAACACGUGAGCAACCAACCUUUUACUCGGGAAUAACAUGGGGAAACCCAUGCUAAUACCUGAUAUUAUCAAGAAAUGGCAUCAUAAUUUGAUGAAAGAUUUAUCGGUAAAAGACGGGCUCGCGUCCGAUUAGCUAGUUGGUAAGGUAAUGGCUUACCAAGGCCACGAUCGGUAGCCGGACUGAGAGGUCGACCGGCCACAUUGGGACUGAGAACGGCCCAGACUCCUACGGGAGGCAGCGGUGGGGAAUAUUGGGCAAUGGACGCAAGUCUGACCCAGCGAUGCCGCGUGAAGGAUGGAAGGCCCUCGGGUUGUAAACUUCUUUAGACAGGGAAGAAAGAAAUGACAUUACCUGUAGAAUAAGCCACGGCUAACUACGUGCCAGCAGCCGCGGUAAUACGUAGGUGGCGAGCGUUAUCCGGAAUUACUGGGUGUAAAGGGCGCGUAGGCGGGUAUGCAAGUUGGAUGUGAAAUUCCGGGGCUUAACUCCGGAUUGUCAUCUAAAACUGUGUAUCUUGAGUGUCAGAGGGGAAAGUGGAAUUCCUAGUGGAGUGGUGAAAUGCGUAGAUAUUAGGAGGAAUACCAGUGGCGAAGGCGGUUUACUGGGCCACAUCUGACGCUGAUGUACGAAAGCGUGGAAAGCAAACAGGAUUAGAUACCCUGGUAGUCCACGCCGUAAACGAUGAGUGCUAAGUAUCGGUAGAUUCGGUGCUUAAGCUAACGCAGUAAGCACUCCGCCUGGGGAGUACGGUCGCAAGACUGAAACUCAAAGGAAUUGACGGGGACUCGCACAAGCGGUGGAGCAUGCGGUUUAAUUCGAUGCAACGCGAAGAACCUUACCAGGUCUUGACAGUGUAAAGAAUACUUAAGAGAUUAAGGGCUAAGAAUUAAGCUUGCUUAUUUCACUUUAUAAACAGGUGGUGCAUGGUUGUCGUCAGCUCGUGUCGUGAGAUGUUGGGUUAAGUCCCGCAACGAGCGCAACCCUUAUUGCUAGUUGCCAUCAUUAAGUUGGGCACUCUAGCAAGACUGCCGGUGACAAAUCGGAUGAAGGUGGGGAUGACGUCAAAUCAUCAUGCCCCUUAUGACCUGGGCUACACGCGUGCUACAAUGGCUAAUACAAAGAGUUGCAAAACCGUGAGGUAGAGCUAAUCUCAUAAAGUUAGUCUCAGUUCGGAUUGUAGUCUGCAACUCGACUACAUGAAGUUGGAAUCGCUAGUAAUCGUAAAUCAG
rnacentral:rRNA from 1 species